GACGAACGCUGGCGGCGUGCUUAACACAUGCAAGUCGAACGGAAAGGUCCUGCUUUUGUGGGGUGCUCGAGGGGCGAACGGGUGAGUAACACGUGAGUAACCUGCCCUUGACUUUGGUAUAACUUCAGGAAACUGGGGCUCAUACCGGAUAGGAGCUACUGCUGCAUGGUGGGGGUUGGUAAGUUUCGGCGGUUGGGGUUGGAAUCGCGGCUUAUCAGCUUGUUGGUGGGGUAGUGGCUUACCAAGGCUUUGACCGGUAGCCGGCCUGAGAGGGUGACCGGCCACAUUGGGACUGAGAUACGGCCCAGACUCCUACGGGAGGCAGCAGUGGGGAAUAUUGCACAAUGGGCGGAAGCCUGAUGCAGCAACGCCGCGUGCGGGAUGACGGCCUUCGGGUUGUAAACCGCUUUCGCCUGUGACGAAGCGUGAGUGACGGUAAUGGGUAAAGAAGCACCGGCUAACUACGUG
rnacentral:rRNA from 1 species